AUUUGAUGAUGUGGACAUUGUAUCUGCAACUCCCCAAAUCUUUCCCAAGCUUCGAAGAAUUCGUCCGUAUGCUUCUGUCUAAAAGUUUGGAUCUUGUUUCUCAACUC
rnacentral:snoRNA from 1 species